rnacentral:rRNA from 1 species
AUGAAAAUAAUCCAUGAAGCUAUUGACAUGAUACGUGAGCUGCUGAAGUAUAUUGACUCUUCUCCUUCAAGACUUCAAGAUUUCAAUACAAUUGCAAGUGGGAUGGGUCUACGUUCAAAGAAAGGUAUCUCUGUUGAUACACUAACCAGAUGGAACUCAACCUGGAAAAUGCUUGUAGAAGCAUUGACGUACCUCGCUAGUUAUGCCAAUAGAAAGAUGAUAGAUUCUCCAAGUGAGGAACAAUGGGAGAAGGCAAAAGCUAUUUGUGAGUUUCUAAAAGCUUUUGAAGAGCUUACCUUGAUUGUUUCAGCUCAUACAUUGAAAGAUCCAGGUUGGCAGACCUCUGAUGUAUUGAAGGAAUUGGCGGUAGCGAUGCAAACGAAGCUCGAUAAAUAUUGGGAUCCCGAGGAGAAGGAGAAUGCAGAUCCUAACCGUCGUAUAAAAAGCAAGGGCAUUGAGUUUAACCAUGCACUUGUCAUUGCUACAUUCCUGGAUCCAAGGAGGAAAGAAGAUUACUUGGAUUUCUUAUAUUGCAAGUUGUCUACCAACGAGGAGCAGAUUACAAAACAAGUGGAGAUUGCUUUAUAA